AACGAACGCUGGCGGCAAGCUUAACACAUGCAAGUCGAACGGAUUAUUCUUUAUAGCUUGCUAUGAAGAAUAGUUAGUGGCAGACGGGUGAGUAAUGCAUAGGAAUCUACCUAGUAGUAUGGGAUAGCCACUAGAAAUGGUGGGUAAUACUGUAUAAUCCCUGCGGGGGAAAGAUUUAUCGCUAUUAGAUGAGCCUAUGUUAGAUUAGCUAGUUGGUAGGGUAAAGGCCUACCAAGGCGAUGAUCUAUAGCUGGUCUGAGAGGAUGAUCAGCCACACUGGAACUGAGAUACGGUCCAGACUCCUACGGGAGGCAGCAGUGGGGAAUAUUGGACAAUGGGCGCAAGCCUGAUCCAGCUAUGCCGCGUGAGUGAGGAAGGCCUUAGGGUUGUAAAACUCUUUCAGUAGGGAAGAUAAUGACGGUACCUACAGAAGAAGUCCCGGCAAACUCCGUGCCAGCAGCCGCGGUAAUACGGAGGGGGCAA
rnacentral:rRNA from 1 species